rnacentral:rRNA from 1 species
UACGUAGGUGGCAAGCGUUGUCCGGAAUUACUGGGUGUAAAGGGCGUGUAGGCGGGAUCUUAAGUCAGAUGUGAAAUUCCAGGGCUCAACCCUGGCGCUGCAUCUGAAACUGGGAUUCUUGAGUGCUGGAGAGGAAAGCGGAAUUCCUAGUGUAGCGGUGAAAUGCGUAGAUAUUCGGUGGAACACCAGUGGCGAAGGCGACUCGCUGGACUGAUACUGACGCUGAGGUGCGAAAGCGUGGGGAGCAAACAGG